CGGCGGGUUGUGGAGGAGCUGCGACGUAUAAUCCCGCUGGAGGAGCACCCGGCGGCGCAGGGACGAAGGCCGGUCCUGGUCCUCGUGCUGGAUACG
rnacentral:misc_RNA from 1 species